GGUUCUAUAGUAUAGCAAUGAGCACAUCUACUUUACACAUAGAAGGUCCUAGGUUCAUGCCUCAGUGGAGCCA
rnacentral:tRNA from 1 species